rnacentral:lncRNA from 1 species
CUUUCUGCUCCCCAACCCCUACCCCAAGCCUCACUCUGGUGAGAGAAAGAACUGGAAGAGAAGGUGCUGUGGUCCCAGGCAUUACAGCAACUGAACAUAUUCUGAACCAGGAGGCCUGAUUAGUAGCCACUGCUCUGUUCUCAUCAUAUUCUUGCAAGAGGAAGUGGUGGUGGUUUUCCCCGCAAUCAGGAAGGAAUUCCAUCAUUCAUCUGCUAAGGCAGCACCUCCCUGAAAUAAUCUCUUCUCCCAGUCAGGCCUAGCUGGCUCCUUUCCCUCUGCAGCAGGAUUGGGAAGGUUGGCCUUAUUA